rnacentral:rRNA from 1 species
GCGGUUAUACGAGAGGCCCAAGCUGAUAGACCCCGGCGUAAAGAGUGGUUAAGAUAAACUUAAAACUAAAGCCGAACACCCUCACAGCUGUUAUACGCACCCGAGAGUAAGAAGCCCAACUACGAAAGUGGCUUUACAACCCCUGAACCCACGAAAGCUAUGACACAAACUGGGAUUAGAUACCCCACUAUGCUUAGCCCUAAACAUCGAUAGCGCACUACACCUGCUAUCCGCCUGGGAACUACGAGCAUCAGCUUGAAACCCAAAGGACUUGGCGGUGCUUUAGAUCCACCUAGAGGAGCCUGUUCUAGAACCGAUAACCCCCGUUCAACCUCACCCCUUCUUGUUUAUCCCGCCUAUAUACCGCCGUCGUCAGCUUACCCUGUGAAGGAAAAAUAGUAAGCAUAAUUGGCACAGCCCAAAACGUCAGGUCGAGGUGUAGCGCAUGGAGGGGGAAGAAAUGGGCUACAUUCCCUAAUGUAGUGAAUACGAACGAUGCACUGAAAGAUGUAUCUGAAGGAGGAUUUAGCAGUAAGCAGGAAAUAGAGUGUCCUGCUGAAACUGGCCCUGAAGCGCGCACACACCGCCCGUCACUCUCCCCAAACCCAGAACCUUAAGUAAAUAAAUCAUUAUCACCAAGAAGGGGAGGCAAGUCGUAA